rnacentral:rRNA from 1 species
CCUACGGGAGGCAGCAGUGGGGAAUUUUCCGCAAUGGGCGAAAGCCUGACGGAGCAAUACCGCGUGGGGGAGGAAGGCUCUUGGGUUGUAAACCUCUUUUCUCAGGGAAUAAUAAUGAAGGUACCUGAGGAAUCAGCAUCGGCUAACUCCGUGCCAGCAGCCGCGGUAAUACGGAGGAUGCAAGCGUUAUCCGGAAUGAUUGGGCGUAAAGCGUCCGCAGGUGGCAGUGUAAGUCUGCUGUUAAAGAAUGAGGCUUAACCUCAUCAGAGCAGUGGAAACUACACAGCUAGAGUGCGUUCGGGGUAGAGGGAAUUCCUGGUGUAGCGGUGAAAUGCGUAGAUAUUGGGAAGAACACCAGCGGCGAAAGCGCGCUACUGGGCCUGUACUGACACUGAGGGACGAAAGCUAGGGGAGCGAAAGGGAUUAGAUACCCCUGUAGUC